rnacentral:lncRNA from 1 species
UUUUUUUUUUUUUUUUUUUGGGUCAAACGAAAUGAAUACUAACUACCAGUACAUAUAUGUACAUAUGGGGUGGCUAAGAUGAUAAAGACUACUACUUGCCUGAGUGGGGCGCAUGGCUGUUUCCAGGGCAGAUAGACGGCGAUCAAAGGACCCCAGAAUGGAAACCAUGGAAUCGGUCACGGACUGCCCCUUCUGCAUAGACUCUCUAAUCAAUGCGGCCCUCUCGCUCAACGUUUCCAUGGCAGCUGCGUAUCCCAGUAUUCUCUGCUCUGCUCUAUGUUGUGUAUCCCAUAAUAGACGCUUUUCGCAUAACUUCACUGAUUCAGGUUACUGUUCUUUGGAAUGGGCUGAGGAUUUUUGGUAGGGGUAACCCAAAAAAAAAAAAUGCAUUAAAUUUGAUGUGGCGAUCUUUGGGGGUGGCCGUUAUUGCCGUUUUAUAUUUACGUUUUAGGUAGGCGGCGUAGCUGGCUGGCGGAUUUGCAUAUUUGCGUAAUUGCAUGGUGGUAGUAAUUAGUAGGUAAUAGGUAGAAAUAGGACGGUGUGAUUCAUUAAGAAGACGGAGUUCUGCUAAGAUAAGGGUUAUUAUCACUUUACCCCCUUAACGUUCGGGGUCACUAUCAAUUUCCUCCUUAACGUUAUCUUUUAAUCGCUUUACCUCCAAAACUAAUGGUUAAACUUAACGGAGUUUGUUAAUUAAAGUAAAAGGACAAGUUUAGCUCAUAAAGUUAUUAUUCUUUUACCCCAUAAACUAUAAUCUCAAUAUCAAUUUACCCUAUAGAGUUAUUUUUUAAGUAAUUUAUUCCACCAUUAAAUCAACUUAACAAGUAAAAAACUUUAGAAGAAAGUACUCUCUUCUUUGUAUAAUAAAAACAAUAAAAAAAUUUAGAGUCACUCUUCUCCUCUUUAGUAUCAAGAAAAAAAAUCAAAGUAUUAAUUUCUUUCUUCUUGGCAAUUUUAUUAAUAUUAAAAAAGUAGAAAGAUCGGAAGGGGGAGAGAGAGAUAGAUCAAUUUCUUUUUUUAGAAAAUACAAAUAAGAAAGAAUUAAAUACUUUAUUAUUUUAAAAUUAUUUCACUUUACUAUUUACCACUAGAUUUCAAUUCUGAUCCCAACAACCUUAAAUUAAUACGAUAAUAUUAGAAUUUUUUUUUUGCAAAAUCUAAUUUUUUGUCUCCUUCUUCCUAUUUCUUUUUUUUUCAUAAUAUUAAUAAGUGUGAAUUUUUUUUUUGAGAAAAUCCUUUUAUAUUUAUAUUUUUGGAUCUCUUAAAGUGAAAAAAAGAAGAAUAAUCAUUCUAAAUUUUUAUUUUUUAUUUUAUAUAUAAGGGUAAAUAUAUUUAAAAAAUUUUGACCGUAGUAGUUAGAUUAACAAUGAAGUAAAAUGCCAAGAAAAUAAUGUUAGGAAUUAAAUCUAUUAUAUCACUAUAAUUUAAAGGAAUAAAGUAAUAAUAACAGUGUAGUAAUGCUAUAGAAUAAAAGGGUAUUUUUGUCCAAAAUUUCUUAACAUGUUAAAUUGAAUUAUUUAUGGGGGUGAAGUGACUAAAAGAUAACGUUAGGGGAUAAACUGACAGUAGUGAUAUAGUUUAAUGGGGUAAAGUGAUAAUAACCCCGAAAAUAAUGACCUUUCUCUGCUUGUCAAAAUUUUACUACUAUCAAUUAAACAUCUGAUGCGGCCUAUAAUCUGUUUAUCUUACCAAACAUUCAUGUACCUGUUUGGGUUCGGGGAAUAAAACAUAGGCUACCAUUAGCUCUAAUUGCUCGCAAUUUUUCUAUAAUAAACUACAAAGGUUUUUUUUUUUUUUUGGCUCGCCACUAGUCAAUCCAUUCAAAUCACGCUAACCUACCAUGUAAUUGCGCGCCCACACAUAAACAAACGAUUAUUAUCCUUUCUUACAUUUAUACUCUUUCUUAAUUUAAAUAUACUUCUCUGAAAAAUUAACACCUCAACUCCGUUUGUUUUUAUUUUUUAAUUACUGUUUUGUUUAGUUAAAAUAGUGUUUAGUAAUCAGUGCCCUGGCUUGACGUUUGAAGAGAUCCAAGUGAAAUAAAAGUAGGACAUGUUUCCUCUUGAUUUGGAAUAUAACCAAAUCGUCCUUCUUUAUGUCACUUGAAACAAGUUGGUGAACAGUAUAUGCAAAUUCCUCAGCAUUUCCCUUCAAAACGGGGCCUAAAAGUGCUUUGAUUAUACUCCAAAUCAAAAAUUGCUAACGUUUAUAACGAAAGUUUGUUGCAAAGAAGUUGAAUUGAUCAAGAGUAAAAUCAAGCUGCGAAGGGGCUGUCAAUCAUUUGAUCAUGAAUUAGUAAACAUGCAAGUUUCAGUACAUUAUUGAUUUUAGAUACUAACAGUCUGAUGUAAAUAUCUGCUGAAGCCUAUGCAUGUCUAAAACUAUGUCGUUUUCGAGAUUGAUAGCAAACGAUCGCUUCCAUUAAUUGCAUGGUGGCGCUUCACCAUCACCAUGCACGGUAGGCGUGGUGGGAUCCGGGCUCUCAACCGCAGGGAACUUUUAAAGGAUUCAACAGCUGAAAUCGACACUUUUUGCCGGCAUGGCGAAGCAUCCAUGGUGGGAAGACAAGUACUAUUUCUUUUUCUCAUUUGUCACUCGGCAAAUGACCUUCAAUCAAACAGGCACCUACCGGCUCUGUGCUCCUGAUCUUUUCUGGCAUUUCUGGUGAAAUCGGAUGAAAAUUUUGGGCCGCAUCAUUUGCUCGAGCCCUACAAGCGGUAACGUGCAAUGAUGUUCGGUGGUAUUAGAUGAGAUCUAAGGAGUGAAUGAAGUGAACCUAUCAAACCAAACAAACUCAAAAAUGGAGAACUUUAAGGGCCCACUAGAACUGCAAUUUUCGAGAGGUUUUGAAAAUUUUUUUUCAAAAAAUAAUAAUAAUAUGUUCUUUUUUAAGAGUAUAAUGUAUAUAAAUUAUAGAGAUUGUAAUAAAAAUAUUUCAAAAAAAAUUAGACAACAAAUUUUUAUACACGAUUUUUUUACACAAACAGACUUAGAUCGUACUACAUAAUAAUUGAAGUUUAGAUCAUGCUAUACAUGUGAUACACAUUCAAAAUUGCUAGUGUAAAAAAAUUACUAUAGUGUCGGUGUACAUAGAAAGUUAAUCAAAAAAUUAUCCCAUAGUACUAGUAAAAUCCAAAUAUCCCUUGAGAUUACAAGUCCGCUCAACCUCAUCCAUCCAAGUUACUUUUCCAAAACUGCCUUCUUGAAUAAAUUAAAGAUUUUAUUAAUGGAUGCCAAUAAACACACAUUAAUACAUUUAGACACACUUCUCUAACAAGCCAACGCUUGAAACAACCCUUUAAUGAGUACAUGUUAAACACCUCAUGGCCAAAUCAAUAAAUUAAUUAAAUAAAUAAGAUUUUGAAAAAUGGAUAAAUUAAAUAAACAAGAUUUAGGGAAUUCGAGGUAUACGGCUACAGGAUCACAAAUAAACAUAAUAGACCCAUAGCUCUGCAAAGGCCAUAAGUUGAUCUGAGGAACAUAGUAAUAAAUUUUCUGGUUUUCUCCUCAAAUUCUCUUUCCAAAAGCUGCAAUUUUGUUUUCCCAAGGUGAAGCUUUCCAUUUCCAUGCAACAAAACAUUGGAGCCAGGAACCGAGACAAAAGAUGCCUGGAAAUCUCUCUAUGGACAUGAGUACCAUGACCCGUCAGCUUUCAAAUUCCGACUCCUCACCAAGCGUAUCACAAACGUCUAAUCAAAGAUCUAGCAUCACAAUCGAUAAUUCAGACCACCACACUCCUAACUCUAGAGGUUAAAUAAAAUGUACUAGCUUUUUUUUUAAAAAAAUAUAUAUAUAUAUAUAUAUUUUUUACAUUACUCGCCAAUACGAAGCUUGGUCAAGACCAACCAAAAAGACAACUUCAGAUCAGGCGAACAAGAGACAAAAGUUAAAAAGAGCUUGACCAGUCCUUGAGCUGUUACUACUACUUUCUACUAUAUUCUCUAGUCUACUUUGCUAAGAAGAGGAAAGAAGGGCCAUCAUCCAUCAUCCUUCCCUUCUUCUUUGACCGUGCAUCCUGGGAUGCGCAUUGAUGGCUGAGGAAGAGAGAUACUCAAUAGGUCCAUUCCGCAGGCAAGCCCAUGUCAGGAGAAACUUGGCUGAGGUAAUCCUCUUGCCUUUUCAUUUGAGCCAUAUUCAUGAAACUGUUCCUCGGAGCCUCCUCCCCAUGUCUGCUCCUGGCACCUGCCAACAUAUUGCUGAUAACUCAUAGCGUCCGUUUGCUUUCCGGGUAAAAAAGGUGGGAUUUCAAAUGCAUACAGAGUUUUGAAUCAAGAACAAGUACUACUCAACUCAAAAGAAGGCAAGGGUUGUAUUAUGAACAGUGAAGAGACCCUAGUUUUAGCAAACAUAUGAAGGGUCCAUCCAAUAACGUGCCAUCAUAUUAUAUAGAAGUAUUGCUACCAUCUAAAGACUGAACCCCGUAUUUAUCAGCUUCGCCCUCGGCGUUUUAGGCCACCUAAAUAUACGGAUUUCUAGAUCAAGUAUUUAGACCAGCACCCAUUAGUGCUUCAUCUAAACACACUUAGCUGCUGUUAUGUAGAGACUGGAUAUCGUCUAAUUUAACAGAAAGCAGAGGAGGCGCCUGUUCAAUAAUUGAUUUUUCCCUCUCCAAUUUUUUACCCUCACCAGGGGGGAGAGAAAGUCACCAAAUACAAAUUUCCCCAUCAUUUAUCUGAAAUUAGUUCCUCUUGAGAUUUUUUUUUUUUUUUAAAAAAAAAACGAGAUACUAAAAGCAAUCCUCAUCCUUGAUCUACAACUUGACCGAAAAAACUAUGAAUAAAUAAAUCAAAACCAAAAACUUUUUAGUAAUUCCUUGAUCUACAGCCUUUUUACGCGCAGUAAUUUCUUGGUGUAAGCCUCGCUAGCUAGUAGCUUUCAUGUCAUGUUACCUUGGAAAGCCACCAAAACCAAACUCGCAGCAGUUUAAAACCGUAAACUCCAAAAAAUAAGCACGUACCAGAACUGCUGGCUAUCUCUCAUCCCCAGCCCCCCCCCCCCCCUUUUUUUUUUCAUCCUAUCCUAUUAUUAUUGUUUGUAUUCCUAUCACUCUAACCUCAGGUGAUCUUGUUUGGAUUGUGAUUUUUUUGCAAAAAAAAAAAAAUAUUACAUGAACAAAUUUCUCAAUUUUUAAAAAUAUAUCGUUAUUAUUUUUUCGCUAUAAUUUUUGAACUCGCAUGCAUCAAACCGCUACUAGGUAUCAUUUUUUUUAUAAAAAAAAUCCUAAAAAUAACAAUCUAGAGGGUCAAAAUGCAUAUGUCUGCGUGUCUAUAGAAAAGAAAAACAAUUAAGGGGAAAAUAAAAACCAAGACCAUUACAAAUUAGAGAAAACGUGGAGGCUUACCCUGUCUUCUCUUGGGAUGAUCAUUCAUACGGUCAGCUGAAGUUGCGGAACUGCCGUUGGCUGGUAUGCGAGGUAGAAAAACCCCCGUCCCCCCAUAAUCUCCUGUCCCGUUACCAAUCCUAUUUCCCCCACAACCACCUGAAAAUGGAACAAACCGGUUCUCCACUACCCGAUUCGCAGUAGACCGCCUCUGCCGCUCCAGAAAACCCCUUAUUAGUCUUUGUUGUUCAAUAAAGCGUUCUGCCUGCAAAGUGCAAGACCCAUCAUCAUCACCCCAAAAGCUGAAAAAGCAGAACCCACAAAAAGAGGACACCGAAAAUGAAGGUACGACAUAAAACCCGGUUCAACGUACCAGAUAAAGAACCGGGUUUGGAUUGGAAUUCAUAAAGUGACAGGGGUAAACCGGUAGAUCACCGGUCGAAAAAGCUUCAUUUCUGAACCCAGUACGGACACGGUUAGUUCCAGACAGACAUCCAUUGCACACAAGGCACCGGACGGGUAAUGAACCGGCACAGCAAACGCACUGAACCGCCGGUCUAAACCGCUGCGAUAGACAACCAUGAAGGAAAUCCAGAAGGAACAUGCAGUUACUAAACAAUUUUAACCUUGGGAAAAAAAAAGAAAAAAGAAAAAAGGCACUGCAUGCAGGAGAAAAAAUUUACUCGCAAGUUUGGAGGAGGUGUGCCGAAGCCGUGUGAUGGUGGGCUGAGCCCAGAAUCUUGAGAAAAAGAGAGAGCAGCUAAGCUUUGAGAAAGGCGGUCUUCAAAGCCCAUGCAUGAAAGCUGCUGCUGAGCAAGAGAGUAGUUGUAGGGGUUAUAGCAGGAGUAGGUUGGACGGUUAAGGGUGGAAGAGGUAAUUUGAUGAUCAAAAGGGAAAAUAUCAGAGGGGAGAAGUUUCCAGAGCUCUCCAUCACCAUCCAAUUCUUGCGGGUUUAUUUGGAAAUAAUCGGCCAUUGCUACUCUCUCCAGAUGUUAGAUGGUCGGAAUAGCAAGAGCGCGGAUAGAAGCGGGUUUUGGGCGACGCGAGGGAGUGAAGAGAGUUAUGAAAAAAAAAAAGAAAGAAGAAGAAGAGCUGCGGUUUUAAAAACUGACGUUACAUAAAGCCCUUUCCUGCUUUUGGCAGAAAGAGGAACGAAGGACGCUUCCGGUGUCGGACCAUUGGCAUGCUGCAUUCAAUAUUGGAGAUCAAAUGAAAAAAAAAAUAAAAAAAAAAAAAGAGAAACGAUUAUGAAACGCUGUACAAAAUGAGUCACGUGACCGCCCACUCACAGCCAGCCUCACUGAGACUAAGGUGCCGUUUGGCAAAAAAUGCAUUUAUAAUAAUAUGUAAACGAAUAAGUUUUUAAGAUAAAAUAAUGGAUUUGUUUGGAUUGAGCAUUAUUUACCUAGUUUUAUUUGUUUACAUCAUCAUUACAAUUUUUAAUACACCUUUUUACCUUUCCAAUUACCUUUUUAUUUCACAUACAUCACAUCACAAAAAGUGCUACAGUAAAAAUAUUCCAAAUAAUCCCAAAUAACUUACAAUCCAAACAAACCCAAUGUUAUAUCCAAGGAACCAUUGGAUGGAAAGACCUAGUACGUGUUGCCAUGCGAAUGCAAUUUGGCAAUUCCAAAAUGAAAUAAUAAAUAAAUUUAUGCAUGAUAAUGAUCUGAUAUAAUUUGCGUGAUCUUUGUCUAUUCAUCUCCACAAGACCAACUAGUUUAAAAAUACUAACUAAAAUUACCAUUCUCGAUAGAUAAUUACUGCCCCUUUUGAUUGAUGGUCAAAGCACUUAAGUCUGAUUUUCCGCGUGAUAAACCUUAAAAAAAAAAAAAAAAAAAUUUCUUCCUCGUCGUUUUGAAUAGGGGAUACAAACGCUGAAUUUAAGACGGUAAAGGAAACCAACAAAAGAGAGGCUGAAGCAAAACGUCCCAAUAAAGAGAAGCAAAUAAUUAUCAGACUGAGGGAAAUGCUGUCACACCCCCUGACCUAAUUGCUGUGGCUACGCCAAGCGAAAGAGUAAUUUCAAUAAUGUAAGGCAUCCAAAAAUAGAAAAAGGGGAAAAAUAAAAAUGUACAAUUCGCCCAAAUCAAGAGCGGGGCCCACAUAGGGGACCCACAACAAUACAAAUCCAAAACCUUGGCCCUUGCCCUUCCUCCUUAAAGGGCAUAUCUGUCAAUAUAAAGCCACCAACUACACUCUGCUUCUCAGACUACUAAUGGCUGCCAGCCUGCCAGAGCAGCUUCUAAACUACCAUCUCCUCUAGUCUAGAGUUUCAACGCACCUUUGGUUAAACCAUAUCGAUGGUAAUGGUACACGUUCGUUACUGCGUACCAUCACAGAGCCCAUGAAUGAAAACCUCCUGUUCAAUUCUAUAGUCUAUACAAAACAAAAGCCACUCGCAAUUACAACAAGGAAAAAAGGGGGAAAAACAAAUAUCCAGUUCUUGCCAGAAGCUUCCCCAACAAUACAUUACUCACUUAUCCACCAUUUAUUUAACUUUAUUUAAAUAUGGAACCUUCACCGGGGAGAUUUGACGGGCCUAGCAAUCGGGCCGGCCCGAGUCAAGAACCGCGGAAUUAGCGGGUCGUUUACACAAGGAUGGAAGGGUGCGGUACAGCCAGCCUUCUUGGCGUUCACGCAUUCCUCGCAGGCUACUUUGUUACUGGCACUAGUACUACUUUCUUUCACGUUUCUCGUCAUCGUCUCUUGGAUCCUUGGAAAUGAACCCGGGUCCAAACUCGGGUUCAAGUCGGGCGGCAUCGGCCUCGGAGCCAGACUGGGGCCGCUGAAAUUCACGGGUUGCGGCGCAGGUAUGCCAUAUUUCUCUCUCUGCACCUUCAAAUUUUGCAGCCGAUCAUUUAAACCCGCCAGCUCGACCUGGGUAAUCUGAUCGUAGAACGGCUUGCCGAAACAAUUAAGUUGCAGACCGUUCAUAUUCACCUCCGCCUGGUUUCGCCGGAGGAGAACCACAUUCUCCGGCGGAGGAGACGGCAGGAAAUCAUUAUCCGACAAGUAGUCGCAGAAAUCAACGCCGUUGGGCCUCAACUUCCGGUUCCUAGACUUUCUUGACCUCUUCAAGACGACAAGAAAGAAGCAAUCCUUCUGGCGAAUGAUCAAGGCGAAAUUCACUUUCCCCGUGAUGGGGGUCUUCCGGCGUUCCUCAGCCAGGGAACUGUGGUGGACGAGAUAGAUGGAGAUUUGGUUGGGGGAGAUUCCGAUCUUCUGGCUGAUCAUCAUCUGGAAUGUCUUGAAUUCCAACAUUGGUUGGACACGGAUGUCUCCAAUGUUGAUUUCCCGCUCUCCAUCGUAGAAUAUCACCGGAAACGCAGCUCCGCCACCGCCGUCCACCAUUUUUCCCCAAGGAAACCCUUAAAAUCGCAACAAUUAGCUUCAAAUACCAGUGGGCCGCCAAGGCCGAGGCAUAAAUUCCGAUGCGAUGUAAUAUGGUACUCAGAGAGACAGGAGAGAUGGAGGGGAGAGAGGAAGGUCUGAGGUGACAAGGGUGGAGGGUUUUAUAUAGAAGUCCGCAAGUACGGGGUUUUAGGGGUAUUAAAGGAAAUGGAAUUUAAGGCGGUCGGGGCAAUCUGGGAAUCAGAUUUAUCGCAGUAGUAGAGAUCUGGGACUGUGGGGCUGGGGCGCGUGACGCAGAUGAUUAGAUUUUUGGAAGGUAGCAUGGUGUGGGUUCGAGAUGGAGGAGAGAGAUUGAAUGUGUGUCAUCGGCGUUUUGCUUGGGCGCCAAGUAAAAAUUAUGUGUCAGAGUCUGACGCGUAACAAUAUUCACUUUUUUUGUGUUCCGGCUUCAUGAAUAAAUGCCGUAUCUUACCUUCACCCACUUGAAU